UGGGGAAUAUUGCACAAUGGGCGAAAGCCUGAUGCAGCGACGCCGCGUGAGGGAUGAAGGCCUUCGGGUUGUAAACCUCUUUCAGCAGGGACGAAGCGAAAGUGACGGUACCUGCAGAAGAAGCACCGGCUAACUACGUGCCAGCAGCCGCGGUAAUACGUAGGGUGCGAGCGUUGUCCGGAAUUACUGGGCGUAAAGAGUUCGUAGGCGGUUUGUCACGUCGUCUGUGAAAACCCACCGCUCAACGGUGGGCCUGCAGGCGAUACGGGCAGACUUGAGUACUGCAGGGGAGACUGGAAUUCCUGGUGUAGCGGUGAAAUGCGCAGAUAUCAGGAGGAACACCGGUGGCGAAGGCGGGUCUCUGGGCAGUAACUGACGCUGAGGAACGAAAGCGUGGGUAGCAAACA
rnacentral:rRNA from 1 species